UCUGAGGCUGUGAUGAUGAAAAAUACCUACCUAUUUUCUGAAGGAUCUCGAUCCCUCUGCAGAGAAACCAAUCUAUUUGUCUGAGCCUUCUA